CGCCUCUUGACGAAAUAUAAGAGGUCCAGCCUGCCCAGUGAAAAUUAAACGGCCGCGGUACACUGACCGUGCAAAGGUAGCAUAAUCACUCGUCUCUUAAAUAGGGACUUGUAUCAACGGCAUCACGAGGGUUAUACUGUCUCCUUUUCUUAAUCAGUGAAACUGAUCUCCCCGUGAAAAAGCGGGCAUACGCAUAUAAGACGAGAAGACCCCAUGGAGCUUCAAACCAAAAGCAAAUUAAAUUAGUAUACCACUAUAACCCUUUAUAUUAUGUACAUUGGUUUUAGGUUGGGGCAACCGCGGAGAAAAAAUUAACCUCCACAACGAAAAGACCUUAGUCUUUAUCUCAGAGCCACUGCUCUAAGAACUAGAAUACUAACGGAUAGUGAUCCAACUUAAUAGUUGAUCAAGGGACCAAGUUACCCUGGGGAUAACAGCGCAAUCCACUUUGAGAGUCCCUAUUAAUAAGUGGGUUUACGACCUCGAUGUUGGAUCAGGGUAUCCUAGUGGUGCAGCCGCUACUAAAGG
rnacentral:rRNA from 1 species